GUUCAAUCUAUCACUAGACGUCGCGUCGUCCGUUCAAACUGCUUGCGAUAGAAAACCCACAGCCGAAUUUUGAUCGUCCAAGAUGAACAACUUUGUAAAGAUUGCCCUCUUCGUUGGCCUCGCCCUGAUGUUAACGUUCCCGGAUGCGCAGGCGCGUCGUCCACAUCAAAGUAAUCACCAUUGCAUCGGCAAUUGUGGAAAUCAAGCCAUCAGAAGCUGCCGCUAUUGCGAAGAAAUACUUCGUACGACUAGAGCUUGCGAUGAAAAAUGCAGAUAUCCAUUUUUUACGAGGUGCGUUUUGAGCAACUGCAUUUGAGGGACCUGUGUUUGUAAARGCAUUUUUCGCAAAUGUAUUCCAUAACAGUGUUAUCACGCAGGCGUUAAAGAGUCAUGACGUUUAUAGUCAAAGUAACUGCAAAAUAUUAAAGAACAGAACUGAUUCCAAUUUUA